rnacentral:rRNA from 1 species
CCAGACUCCUACGGGAGGCAGCAGUGGGGAAUAUUGCACAAUGGGGGGAACCCUGAUGCAGCAACGCCGCGUGGGUGAAGAAGUAUUUCGGUAUGUAAAGCUCUAUCAGCAGGGAAGAAGAAAUGACGGUACCUGACUAAGAAGCCCCGGCUAACUACGUGCCAGCAGCCGCGGUAAUACGUAGGGGGCAAGCGUUAUCCGGAUUUACUGGGUGUAAAGGGAGCGCAGGCGGUGAGGCAAGUCUGAUGUGAAAACCCGGGGCUCAACUCCGGGACUGCGUUGGAAACUGUCUUACUUGAGUACCGGAGAGGUAAGUGGAAUUCCUAGUGUAGCGGUGAAAUGCGUAGAUAUUAGGAGGAACACCAGUGGCGAAGGCGGCUUACUGGACGGUAACUGACGCUGAGGCUCGAAAGCGUGGGGAGCAAACAGGAUUAGAUACCCCAGUAU